GGCUAAGUACAUGAAAAGACACUCAAUAUUAUUCAUCAUUAGGGAAAAGCAAACUAAAGCCAUAAUGAGGUACACACCCCCUAGAAUGGCUGUGAAAUCAAAACGAUGGACUAUGGAAAAUGAUGCAGCUAUUUGGAAAACAGUUUGGCAGUUCCCCAAAAGUUAAAUACAGAGUUACACAUGUCUUCAUUUCCCACUGCUGCUGUAACAAAUGACCACAAAUUCAGUGGCUUGAAACAACACAAAUGUAUUGUCUUACACCUCUGGAGGUCAGGAGUCUUAGAGGCUGAAGCCCAGGUGCCAGCAGGGCUGGUUCCACCUGAAGUCUCCAGGGGAGACUCUGUUUCUUGCCUUCUUCUCUUCUAGAGGCAUUGGCAUCCAAUCUGCUUCCAUGUUCAAGGCUGGCCCCCCUGACUCCCAACUCCCUCUUAUGUGGACCCUUGUGACCACACUGAGCCCAAGCGGAUGAUCCGGGAUAAUCUACCUCAAGAUCCUUAACUUAAUCCCAUCUGCAAAGCCUCUCUGGCCACGCUAGGCCACAUUCACAGUGAAUGUGUGGGUACUGACGCUGAGACACAUCUAACAGGAAAGGUGAAAUGGGUAUUCCAGAUAAUGGCUGGGAGGCACGAGACAGCUCAGGGUCAACUGCCGACGGAUUUCACACAGGAAACCACUUCCCUUCUUCCCGACUCUCACAGAGCACCUCAAGCUCUGACCCCAAAUUUAUCACAAUGGCUCGAUUCAGAUGAAACAGUCCAUGAAUGAUACCAAACAGUGAAACUGGAAUACAACUUCAAUGGAUAAAAUGAUGACAGGUAACAAUUUGGUCGAGGGUAAAACGGAUAUCCUCAUUUUCUUUAAGAUUUUUAAAGUAACAUUUUUUUCUUAAAAGCUAAUAUGUGCAUAACAGGAAACCAAAAAACAAAGGCAUUCAUAUCACAGGCAGUUGACCGUCUGAUGUAUCCUUCUAGGUGUCAUGUGCGUAUUUUUGAAACUAAGAAAUCCAUUUUUAUGCAACUAAGAUCACACAGUUAUGUAUCAGGCUGUCCCACACAUCAUGAAUAUUUACCAUUUCAAAGUCCCAAAGCUAUGAAUAUUCUGAUAACCAAGAAUAUACUAUAUCAACUCAAUCUGGAAGGAAAAAAAAAAAGCAAUCCUGCCUUUCUUGGUGACAAAAAUUUCAGAAAACACAAAAAUGGCAACAGGCCUCUAAAGAUACUAGCAGAGUUAUGACUAAAAUAUUACAUCCCCUUAACGUUCAAUUAAAAAUGAGACAUAAAGCAACAGAGUACAAAAAGAAUAAUGCCUCCAAGAGGAUUCAUUAUCUGAUCUAAACUGUUAAAAUGUUAGCAAAAAGGUACGUUUCCAUUGAAUUACUGAACAAUGAACUCGUAGCACAGCCAAGAGAUGUGCACACAUCCAUAAAGUGAAGUCCCUCAGUCAUGUCUGACUCUUUGCGACCCCAUGGACUGUAACCUACCAGGUUCCUCCAUCCAUGGGAUUUUCCAGGCAAGAGUACUGGAGUGGGUUGCCAUUUGGUCAUCAUCAAAAUACAAACAUGAACACAUCCACACACACACCCCUCCCUUAUACUUCCUUCUGCCCUCUGCCGCUAACCUAAUAAACAAGUCCUGACAUACAUUUCUCAGAGACAGUUUAAGAAUUCCAUGUCCAAGAUGUUGUUUGUUUGUUUGUUUUUAAUCAAUUACAACAAAGACAGUUGGGCUUCCAGGUGACUCUAAUGGUAAAGAACCUGCCUGCCAUAAGAGACACGAGAUGCAAGUUCAAUCCCUGGGCUGGGAAAAUCCCCUGGAAGAGGGCAUGGCAACCCACUCUAGUAUUCUUGCCUGGAGAAUCCCAUAGUCAGAGGAGCCUGGUGGGUUAUAGUCCAUAGGGUCACAAAUGGUCGGACACACUUGAGGCAAUGUAGCACACAUUCACAACAAAUACAUUUACAAAUUGGUUAAUUUACUAGCUCAACUUAUCAUACAUUGUCACCUCAGGACUUCUAACAAGCCAAGAUGUUGCAAAAUAAAGAAUGAACCUUGUCCACAAUAAACUAGGUACUUUACAAAAAUGCAGGUAAGACCUAAAACUGUCUUCUAGAUAUGGACAUAUUAGCCAAGAGCCCUUUCCCUCAGUGUUCCUCUUACCCCUCCUCCAGCAUUUCAGCAAUGUACCAGACAACAUCCAGCUCCAAGACACUCCCAGGAGACACAGCCCUUCCUAACAACAAAAGGACAUCUCUAAAGGGGUUAUUUUACUAUCUCUGCUUUUAAUGCACUUUGGGCAUUGAAAAGAAAAGUGGGAAAGGGCUUCUCUGGUGGCUCAGACAGUAAAGAAUCUGCCUGCAAUACAGGAGACCAACGUUGGAACCCUAGGUUGGGAAGAUCCCCUGGAGAAGGGAAUGGAACCCACUCUAGUGUUCUUGCCUGGAGAAUUCCAUUGACAGAGGAAACAGCAGGCUACAGCCCAUGGGGUUGCAACGAAUCGGCAACAGGCC
ensembl:lncRNA